ACAGAGUCUCUAAAAAAGACUCCUGAGCUCAGAAAGGUGAGGUGGGAGGAUUGCUUAAGUCCAGGAAUUCUGGGUUAUAAUGCACUAGGCAUCUGCACUAAAUUUGGCAUCAUGUGGUGACCUCCCAGGAGCCUGGAAUUAGACCACUUGGUUGCCUAAGGAGGAGUGAACUGGCCCAGGUCAGAAAUGGAGCAAGUCAAAACUUCCAUGUUGAUCAGUAGCAGGAUCACACCUGUGACUAGCCUCUGUACUGGAGCAACAUAGUGAGAUCCCUUUUCU
rnacentral:sRNA from 1 species